rnacentral:rRNA from 1 species
GACGAACGCUGGCGGCGUGCUUAACACAUGCAAGUCGAACGGUGAAGCGCCUUCCUUUUUGGUGGGUGUGGAUGAGUGGCGAACUGGUGAGUAACACGUGAGUAACCUGCCCCCUUCUUCUGGAUAACCGCAUGAAAGUGUGGCUAAUACGGGAUAUUCUGGGUCUGUCGCAUGAUGGGUCUGGGAAAGAUAUUGUUUCGGUGGGGGAUGGGCUCGCGGCCUAUCAGCUUGUUGGUGGGGUGAUGGCCUACCAAGGCGGUGACGGGUAGCCGGCCUGAGAGGGUGGACGGUCACACUGGGAAUGAGACACGGACAAGACUACGACGGGAGGCAGCAGUGGGGAAUAUUGCACAAUGGGCGCAAGGCUGAUGCAGCGACGCCGCGUGAGGGAUGGAGGCCGUCGGGUUGUGAACCUCUUGCGCCAGUGAAGCAGGCCUGCCUAGUUUGUGGGUGGGUUGACGGUAGCUGGAUAAGAAGCGCCGGCUAACUACGUG